CCAUGAUGUCCCCCACGUCCCCCAUGUCCCCACUUAUUACAACUAUAGGUGCAAACUUGUGGACACCUAAAAAGUAACGUACAGUAGUCCACACUCCUGCUGAAUAUCCCUGAUCUGACCUGUUUCAAUACACAGAGACAAUAUCCCUCUUAGCACCUCACACUCCUGCUGAAUAGUCCAGAACAGGACACACACAUGUCUGAUACACUGUACAAUAAAGGCCUGAUUGGUGAAAUGCUGCAGAGAUGGAUGUCCUUCUGGAAGGUUCUCCCAUCUCCACAGAGGAACUAUAGAUCUCAUCACAGACACAGGUGGUUCUUCUGGAAGGUUCUCCCAUCUCCACAGAGGAACUCUUGUUACAGGUUGUC
ensembl:lncRNA